UACGAAGGGUGCAAGCGUUAGUCGGAAUUACUGGGCGUAAAGCGUGCGUAGGCGGUUUCUUAAGUCGGAUGUGAAAGCCCUGGGCUCAACCUGGGAAUGGCACUCGAUACUGGGAAGCUGGAGUACGGUAGAGGAAGGUGGAAUUCCCGGUGUAGCGGUGAAAUGCGUAGAGAUCGGGAGGAACACCAGUGGCGAAGGCGACUACCUGGCCUGUUCUUGACGCUGAGGCGCGAAAGCUAGGGGAGCAAACGGG
rnacentral:rRNA from 1 species